AUUGAACGCUGGCGGCAGGCCUAACACAUGCAAGUCGAACGGUAACAGGAAACAGCUUGCUGUUUCGCUGACGAGUGGCGGACGGGUGAGUAAUGUCUGGGAAACUGCCUGAUGGAGGGGGAUAACUACUGGAAACGGUAGCUAAUACCGCAUAACGUCGCAAGACCAAAGAGGGGGACCCUCGGGCCUCUUGCCAUCGGAUGUGCCCAGAUGGGAUUAGCUUGUUGGUGGGGUAACGGCUCACCAAGGCGACGAUCCCUAGCUGGUCUGAGAGGAUGACCAGCCACACUGGAACUGAGACACGGUCCAGACUCCUACGGGAGGCAGCAGUGGAGAAUAUUGCACAAUGGGCGCAAGCCUGAUGCAGCCAUGCCGCGUGUAUGAAGAAGGCCUUCGGGUUGUAAAGUACUUUCAGCGGGGAGGAAGGGAGUAAAGUUAAUACCUUUGCUCAUUGACGUUACCCGCAGAAGAAGCACCGGCUAACUCCGUG
rnacentral:rRNA from 1 species